rnacentral:lncRNA from 1 species
UCACACUUCACACCCACUUCUAAGGAGAUGUGGAUCUUUAUCAAGGCUGUAGAGUGCUGAUUACUACAUUUAACUGCUGUAUAAUCAAUUUGAGAAGUAAACACAAAGAGACAAGUAACCACUCUCUCAGUUCUUGAGCAUUGGAGGAAUGGACAUGAAUGUCUAACAGUACUUCUUGGAAAUUCUAGUGAGAAAGGAGAGUAAUUUCACAUUUGCCCUUCUCUGAGUGGGAAAAUGCUGCAGAGGUACCUGGUGUAUGCAGUAGGAAAAUCCAC